CACUGUAAAGCUAAUCAGCAUUAACCUUUUAAGUUAAAGAUUGAGAGAAUCCCCCUCUCUGCAGUGA
rnacentral:tRNA from 18 species